rnacentral:lncRNA from 1 species
UUGAGCCCAGGAGGCGGAGGUUGCAGUGAGCUGAAAUCACGCCACUGCACUCCAGCCUGGGCGACAGAGUGAGACUCCGUCUCAAAAAAAGAAAACCAGGAAGUUAACAUUGAUAAACUACUACUAACUAAUCUACGGACAUUCAAAUUUUGCCAGUUUUCCCGAUGAUGUCCUUUGUCUGGUCCAGGGUCCCAUAUUGCAUUUUGUUGUGGUGUUUCCUUCAUCUCUGUCAGCCUGUGACAGUUUCUUGGUCUUUAUCUUUCAUGACCUUGACACUUUGGAAGAGUCCAGGCCAGUUAUUUUAUAGAAUAUUCCCCAGUUUUAGUUUGUUUAAUGUUUUUACAUGAUAUGAUUGAGGAUCUGCAUUUUUGCCAAGACAACCACAGAAGUGAUACUGUGCUAUUCUUAGUGCCUCCUAGCGGAGGGUGGUGGUAACUUUGAUCACAUGGCUAAGGUGGUGUGUGCCAGGUUUCUCCACUGUAAAAUUAGGAAUUUUCCCUUUGAAAUUAACAAGAAUCUUCCACUUUGAAGCUAUGUGAAUGUCUUAUUCUUAAAAUUUUGCCUACUGAUUUUCAUUUCCAUCAUCAAUGAUUCUUGCUUAUAACAGGUAUUAAUGUUAUGCUUGCCUAAUGGUGACUUUGUUUCAUUAUUUUACCUGUAUUUAUUAAUUGGUAUUCUACUAUAAGGAAGAGCUGUCCCUUUUCCCCAUUUAUUUAUUUGAUAAUUUAUAUCAGUAUGAAUGAGUGGAUAUCUGUUUUAUUCUACAGGCUACAAUCUAAUGCUAACAGUUUAUUUGGUUGCUCAAAUUGGCUCAGAUUUGGCCAGUGAGAACUCAUUGAAGUUGGCACUGUGUUGUUUCGACAUUGCCCCUGUCACUUUUUAAGCAUUUUCUGGCACCACAAGAUGUUUCAGGCUUCCUCACAUUUUCCCUAUCUCAGCCCUGGCAUCAGUCAUUCUCUAAGAAGCUCCCAGUUCCUUUUAUUCCAGAAAAAAGGAACUUAGAAACCAAGUUGUUUCUUGAUGCCACUGGAAACCAAGAUCUGGACAGAAUAUAUACUCCUGGCUAGAGUAUCAUUGGCGGAGUGUCAUUGCUUGUAGGCCUGCUCAGCAGACAGAGCUAGAAAACAUAUAUGUAUAUAUGUUAAAACAUGCAAAUACAAGCACCUGAAUUUAUUAUUCUAUCCAUCUGUAUGUUAUUAAAAACCGUGAGCCAGGUAUGGUGGCUCGUGCCUGUAUCCCAGGACUUUGGGAGGCCAAAGUGGGAGGAUCACUUGAGCCCAGGAGUUCAAGACCAGCCUGCGCAUCAUAGCAAGACCUCAUCCUCCAAACGUUUAAAAAAUAAAAAAUUAGCCAGGCAUGGUGGUGCAUUCCUGUAAUCCUAGCUACGUAGGAGG